rnacentral:tRNA from 2 species
AGCCGUGGAGACCCUGGAGGAGACCGGCGCCGACAACGUCGGCGGCAUCAUGGCCGCCGAAGGGGUCAGCCCGUUCGAGCAGGCCGUGGCGU